UACAGAGGGGGCCAGCGUUAUUCGGAAUUAUUGGGCGUAAAGGGCGCGUAGGCGGCUUUGCGUGUCUUUCGUGAAAUCCCUCGGCUCAACUGAGGACGUGCGGAAGAAACUGCAGGGCUGGAGUCCGGGAGAGGAGGGUGGAAUUCCCAGUGUAGCGGUGAAAUGCGUAGAUAUUGGGAGGAACACCGGUGGUGUAGACGGCUCACUGGACCGUAACUGACGCUGAGACACGAAAGCGUGGGUAGCAAACAGG
rnacentral:rRNA from 1 species